rnacentral:rRNA from 1 species
GGGACACGUGGUAUCCUGUCUGAAUAUGGGGGGACCAUCCUCCAAGGCUAAAUACUCCUGACUGACCGAUAGUGAACCAGUACCGUGAGGGAAAGGCGAAAAGAACCCCGGCGAGGGGAGUGAAAAAGAACCUGAAACCGUGUACGUACAAGCAGUGGGAGCACCCUUUGGGGUGUGACUGCGUACCUUUUGUAUAAUGGGUCAGCGACUUAUAUUCUGUAGCAAGGUUAACCGUAUAGGGGAGCCGGAGGGAAACCGAGUCUUAAUUGGGCGUUAAGUUGCAGGGUAUAGACCCGAAACCCGGUGAUCUAGCCAUGGGCAGGUUGAAGGUUGGGUAACACUAACUGGAGGACCGAACCGACUAAUGUUGAAAAAUUAGCGGAUGACCUGUGGCUGGGGGUGAAAGGCCAAUCAAACCGGGAGAUAGCUGGUUCUCCCCGAAAGCUAUUUAGGUAGCGCCUCGUGAAUUCAUCUCCGGGGGUAGAGCACUGUUUCGGCUAGGGGGCCAUCCCGGCUUACCAACCCGAUGCAAACUGCGAAUACCGGAGAAUGUUAUCACGGGAGACACACGGCGGGUGCUAACGUCCGUCGUGAAGAGGGAAACAACCCAGACCGCCAGCUAAGGUCCCAAAGUCAUGGUUAAGUGGGAAACGAUGUGGGAAGGCCCAGACAGCCAGGAUGUUGGCUUAGAAGCAGCCAUCAUUUAAAGAAAGCGUAAUAGCUCACUGGUCGAGUCGGCCUGCGCGGAAGAUGUAACGGGGCUAAACCAU